rnacentral:tRNA from 1 species
GGGUGGUUAGCUCAGUUGGUUAGAGUACUUGCUUGACAUGCAAGAGGUCAUAGGUUCAAAUCCCAUACCACCCA